rnacentral:rRNA from 1 species
CAACAGGGAUUGCCUUAGUAACUGCGAGUGAAGCGGCAAAAGCUCAAAUUUGAAAUCGGUGUCCAUAAAGUGCAUCGAGUUGUAAUUUGGAGGGACAACUUCGGGGCGAACCACACCGUAAGUUUUUUGGAACAGGACAUCAUAGAGGGUGAGAAUCCCGUGUCUUGGUGUAGGGUCAAACCAUGUGAAGUGUCUCCGACGAGUCGAGUUGUUUGGGAAUGCAGCUCAAAAUGGGUGGUAAAUUUCAUCUAAAGCUAAAUAUUGGCGAGAGACCGAUAGCGCACAAGUAGAGUGAUCGAAAGAUGAAAAGCACUUUGAAAAGAGAGUUAAAAAGUACGUGAAAUUGUUGAAAGGGAAGCGCUUGCGACCAGACUCGAUCUUUGGAGAUCAGCCGGGCUUCUGUUCGGUGCCCUCUCCAUUGAUUGGGCCAGCAUCGGUUCUGACGGUGGGAUAAAAGGAGGAGGAAUGUGGCUCCCCUUGGGGAGUGUUAUAGCCACCUUCACAAUGCUACCAGUUGGGACCGAGGACCGCGCUUCGGCUAGGAUGCUGGUGUAAUGGUCUUAAGCGACCCGUCUUGAAACACGGACCAAGGAGUCUAACAUCUAUGCGAGUGUUCGGGUGGAAAACCCUUGCGCGUAAUGAAAGUGAACGGAGGUGUGAACCCUUUACGGGGUGCAACAUCGACCGGUCCUGAUGUCUUCGGAAGGAUCUGAGUAAGAGCAUAGCUGUUGGGACCCGAAAGAUGGUGAACUAUCGCCUGAAUAGGGUGAAGCCAGAGGAAACUCUGCGUGGAGGCUCGCAGCGGUUCUGACGUGCAAAUCGAUCGUCAAAUUUGGGUAUAGGGG